rnacentral:rRNA from 1 species
UGCAGAAUCCCGUGAACCAUCGAGUCUUUGAACGCAAGUUGCGCCCGAGCCAUUAGGCCGAGGGCACGUCUGCCUGGGCGUC